rnacentral:rRNA from 1 species
CGUAGGUAACCUGCCCCGGAGCGGGGGAGUAACAUUUGGAAACAGAUGCUAAUACCGCAUAACAAUAAAAGCCGCAUGGCUUUUAUUUGAAAGAUGGCUUUGGCUAUCACUCUGGGAUGGACCUGCGGUGCAUUAGCUAGUUGGUAAGGUAACGGCUUACCAAGGCGAUGAUGCAUAGCCGAGUUGAGAGACUGAUCGGCCACAAUGGAACUGAGACACGGUCCAUACUCCUACGGGAGGCAGCAG